rnacentral:rRNA from 1 species
CAGGUCAGCAUACUGCCGUGAAUACGUUCCCGGGCCUUGUACACACCGCCCGUCACACCAUGAGAGUUGGGGAUACCCGAAGCCUGUGAGCCAACUGUAAAGAGGCAGCAGUCGAAGGUAGAAUCAAUGAUUGGGGUGAAGUCGUAACAAGGUAGC